rnacentral:rRNA from 1 species
CCCUACGGGGCGCAGCAGUGAGGAAUAUUGGUCAAUGGCCGAGAGGCUGAACCAGCCAAGUCGCGUGAGGGAUGACGGCCCUACGGGUUGUAAACCUCUUUUGUCGGGGAGCAAAGAGAGUCACGUGUGGCUCAUUGAGAGUACCCGAAGAAAAAGCAUCGGCUAACUCCGUGCCAGCAGCCGCGGUAAUACGGAAGGUCCGGGCGUUAUCCGGAUUUAUUGGGUUUAAAGGGAGCGUAGGCCGGUCUUUAAGCGUGCCGUGAAAUUUUGUGGCUCAACCAUGAGAGUGCGGCGCGAACUGGAGA